rnacentral:rRNA from 1 species
UACGUAGGGUGCAAGCGUUGUCCGGAAUUAUUGGGCGUAAAGAGCGUGUAGGCGGCUCGACAAGUCUGCUGUGAAAGUUCAGGGCUCAACCCUGGAAUGCCGGUGGAUACUGUCGAGCUAGAGUCCGGAAGGGGCGAGUGGAAUUCCUGGUGUAGCGGUGAAAUGCGCAGAUAUCAGGAGGAACACCAAUGGCGAAGGCAGCUCGCUGGGACGUGACUGACGCUGAGACGCGAAAGCGUGGGGAGCGAACAGG